CACACCACAGCCGGGACUCAGGACAGCCCAAAUCAGGAAAGCGAGGCGUCCUGAAGCGUCCCUGGUCAGAGGCGGAGCGGGCUGCGGUCGAGGAGCACCUCACCCAGAACAUCACGGAUCUCCGGGUCCCCGCGAAGGCUGACUGCGAGCGCUGCCUGCAGCAGUGCCCCCUGCUGGUCAGCAACCACCGCGACUGGAGGGCCAUCAAGUUCUACUGCCACAAUCGCAUUCAGCUGCUGAAGAAAAACCAGCGUCGGGAAAUCGAGCCCCUGGCCCUCAUUGUCUGCUGAGAGGAGAGAGGGUUCGGGGAGGCAUCAGAGCAGAUUCUCAAAUGGUACCCUGCUCCCCAGGAAAUGCACUAGUCUUGAGAGGACGGUCCUAAAAGUUUCACUUCUCGUAGCCCGGUUUGGUUCUGACACGGCUUUUUCAUUUGACACAUGAUGGCGUUUUUUUAUUUGAGCCACACAAGAACAGAAAUCUGAAUUCACUUUUUUUGCUGCUCUACUUUAAGGUCUUAAAAAGAUGACACUAGAGUCUUCACAAUGCUCCUCGUUUGAGGGACUUGUCAAAAGCGGAGCACUGUGACGGGUCCCGUUUGAGACUUGCGUUGGGGGACUUCAGAGACCAUGACACUUGCUCGUGAUUUGUUGUACAUGGACAAUUUCUUUAUCUCCUUCCAAAACGCAUACACUAAAAUGAAAUGUAAUCAAAGGAGGCAGUGGAGCCUCACAGUGUUGCUGAACGUCGUGAAGUAGCAUUAGUGUUCCAUGCGCUUGGAGACGUUAAUAGGACAAAUGGCCCGUGCUGGGGCCACAUGUUUCUUAAUAGUGACUAUAUAACUAGAGUAGGCAAUACUACUGCUAAGACUAACCAGAUCUUCUUAUACAACUGACUGUAGUUCUGACAAUGGUUUUAUUAUAUUUGGACCAUCAUUUACAUGUAAGGUACUUGUGGAGGAAUGAGUUGCUGUAUUGCAGUUUUUAUGAAGUUUAAAUUUAAAGUGGAACGCAGAGUUUCAUUAGAGAGACAAUUAAAAGGCCGCAGAAUGUUGUGAAGUUACUUUUGGAUACCUAAGAUGUUUUGUUCAAAUACAAAGUCCAGGAACAUGAGGACUGUUUGGAAACCUGUUGCGUUCGACUCAUUUUCCCCAGAGGAACAGUUGUUUCCUUUUGUUUUUGUCUUUUUUCUGCCUGUUGCACAUUUGUUAUUCAAAGCAGUAAAAAAGGUGCUAUAGGCCAAUAAGCUGGAUAUCACUUUAUAUGUAGAGAGGAGAUUUCCCAUGGUUGUGUUAGAAGUUUAUUAAUAAGUGGGCAUUUAUCACAGACGUGAUUGUUCUGUCUCCACGUUUAUUGCAUUGUCUGUGAUGUCCUUUCCAUCGGUUAUAGCUCCACCUGUCCUGUCCCAGCAACACUACACGGUUUGCAGCUCCACCACAUUUUUGGUUUAUCUUCGGUGUCGCUUAAAAUCUGCUUCCCAUCGGACUAAAACCUCCAUGAAAUAGAUGACAGAUACUUGAAGUUAUUUAAACCUUUUGCAGACUUGUUUAUGUUCUUUCUUGCUCUAGCCUUGCCAGUUACAUUGUACAUAACAAAUAUAUUAUCAUUAUGCUAACUGGUUGUUCGUGCUAGACGAUGUAGCUUUUUCAUUUCUGAGUUAUUGCUAUAUGUAAAUAAGCCUGUUUGUAAAUAAUCCUCAGAGAAACAAAGAAAAAACACAAUGUAUGACAUGCCUUGGUUAUUAAUGUGUUAUGUUUUUUCUUUUUUUAUAAGUCUUAUAAAAAUGUAAAGCUCUAA